AGUAACAGUUAAAAGAUCUCUUCAUGCCCCCCUCCCCACCAAUGAUUUCAACAAGUCCUCCAACUCAUGCGACCACAUUGGUCUUACCCUCUGCGACCCACAGGAGCGUUUGCUAAAUUAGCACCCUAACCGGGGCAGGAGAUCCACCAAAGACAUAUUAUAUGAACUGGAUACAGCGUUCAAGGCAGGGGCAGAGAGUUACUCAGUGGCACAUGGAGCCAUCAUGGAGCCAACACCAUGUAUAAAAUUACUCAGAUGAUCGGCACUGCUUCCACACUGUAGCUCAUAGAGCAGGCACACUAACGACCUCCGCUGUCCGAUCGGCUAUUUCAGGAAGAACAUGCAAACUCCACACAGAAAGGCCCUGCCCAGACCAGGGAUUGAACUCUGCAGUGCAUACUUGAUGUGAGGCAGCAGUGUUAACCACUGAGCCACCGUGCUGCCCAGGUAUGUCUUUCUCCUCUUUCUACAUUUACGGAAACGGGACACGAACAGCCCAGCCAGUCUCCUGGGCCAAAGUCUUGUAUUUGUCUGAACCAUCUGCCUGCCCUAAAAGGACUUUCUCAGCCUUAAUACUACUACGACUUCCUGCUUUGCACCUGUCAUUAUUACUAUGGUCUAGAAAUCAACCCCUAACCAUAAACGUAAAUAUGGGUCGUAAUAAGCUGCUAGUACAAACAACUUUUUUCGUCGAGGACAGUCUCAAUGAUUUUGCAGAUAGUCCCUUACUGGCGUUGCUGUUUGUAAUCGCUUCACUGUCAGCAUUAGCUAAUACAAAAAUACUUUUUCUGUACUUUAUCCAUCCCAUAUACUAAUAAUUUUCUUAACAACAGUGUUGAUGUAUCUAACUUAUCUUCAGUGACAUAGCAAAUAAAACCGACACAUCAGAAAGUUUGUGAAGUAGCUUUUUCUUUCCCCCUCUGGAAGCUUAAUAUCUGUUUAAUAGUUGUUGUAUUCAUGCGGCGUCUCUAUGGUUUAAGUGCUAUAGAUUGAAACACAAGUUAUGGGCUUCUGUACAGAGAGAAUGUGCUGUGUGUUUGCUCGCAUACGUGUGCAUGUGUGCAUGUCUUAGGUGGGAGAGGUAAAUUGGGAGCCAUUUCUCUUCCCCGCCCUCCACAUUAAUGUCUCACUUGGGCUCCCUCACUCAGAUUGCUCAUUUUCCAGCUGCUGCAUUUUAAUAGGAAGUCUAUCCUGUGAAACUGGACUGGAAUUGGGGGAAAUCAACAGAGGGUCAUAAAGUACUUUU